rnacentral:rRNA from 1 species
UACGUAGGGUGCGAGCGUUAAUCGGAAUUACUGGGCGUAAAGCGUGCGCAGGCGGUUUGGUAAGACAGAUGUGAAAUCCCCGGGCUUAACCUGGGAAUUGCAUUUGUGACUGCCCGGCUAGAGUGUGUCAGAGGGGGGUAGAAUUCCACGUGUAGCAGUGAAAUGCGUAGAGAUGUGGAGGAAUACCGAUGGCGAAGGCAGCCCCCUGGGAUAACACUGACGCUCAUUGCACGAAAGCGUGGGGAGCAAACAGGAUUAGAUACCUGUGUC